rnacentral:rRNA from 1 species
AGUNCGRGGGCAGCAGGUCUGUAGCAAUACAGAUGCUGGCGACCGGCAAACGGGUGCGGAACACGUACAGAACCUUCCUUUAAGCGGGGGAUAGCCCAGAGAAAUUUGGAUUAAUACCCCAUAGUAUUGUUGAGUGGCAUCACUUAAUGAUUAAAGAUUUAUCACUUAAAGGUGGCUGUGCGGCUGAUUAGGUAGUUGGCGGGGUAAUGGCCCACCAAGCCUUCGAUCAGUAACUGGUGUGAGAGCACGACCAGUCACACGGGCACUGAGACACGGGCCCGACUCCUACGGGAGGCAGCAGUAAGGAAUAUUGGGCAAUGGACGCAAGUCUGACCCAGCCAUGCCGCGUGGAGGAUGAAGGUCCUCUGGAUUGUAAACUUCUUUUAUUUGGGAAGAAACCCGAUUUUUCUAAGUCGGUUGACGGUACCAGAUGAAUAAGCACCGGCUAACUCCGUGCCAGCAGCCGCGGUAAUACGGAGGGUGCAAGCGUUAUCCGGAUUCACUGGGUUUAAAGGGUGCGUAGGCGGGCAGGUAAGUCAGUGGUGAAAUCUCUGGGCUUAACCCGGAAACUGCCGUUGAUACUAUCUGUCUUGAAUAUCGUGGAGGUAAGCGGAAUAUGUCAUGUAACCGGUGAAAUGCUUANAUAUGACAUAGAACA